rnacentral:rRNA from 1 species
UACGUAGGGGGCAAGCGUUGUCCGGAUUCAUUGGGCGUAAAGCGCGUGUAGGCGGCCAGGUAGGUCCGGUGUGAAAACUCGAGGCUCAACCUCGAGACGCCGAUGGAAACCGUCUGGCUAGAGUCCGGAAGAGGAGAGUGGAGUUCCUGGUGUAGCGGUGAAAUGCGCAGAUAUCAGGAAGAACACCCGUGGCUAAGGCGGCUCUCUAGUACGGUACUGACGCUGAGACGCGAAAGCGUGGGGAGCGAACAGG